GAACCCCCACCAACGAAAGAGGUUCCCUGAAGAACCCCCACCAACUAAAGAGGUUCCUUGAAGAACCCCCACCAACUAAAGAGGUUCCUUGAAUAACCCCCACCAACUAAAGAGGUUCCCUGAAGAACCCCCACCAACUAAAGAGGUUCCCUGAAGAACCCCCACCAACUAAAGAGGUUCCCUGAAGAACCCCCACCAACUAAAGAGGUUCCUUGAAGAACCCCCACCAACUAAAGAGGUUCCCUGAAGAACCCCCACCAACUAAAGAGGUUCCCUGAAGAACCCCCACCAACUAAAGAGGUUCCCUGAAGAACCCCCACCAACUAAAGAGGUUCCCUGAAGAACCCCCACCAACUAAAGAGGUUCCCUGAAGAACCCCCACCAACUAAAGAGGUUCCCUGAAGAACCCCCACCAACUAAAGAGGUUCCCUGAAGAACCCCCACCAACUAAAGAGGUUCCCUGAAGAACCCCCACCAACUAAAGAGGUUCCCUGAAGAAUGACACUUUCCAUGGGGUUCUUGGAAGAACCUUUUGGGUGCAUUUUUCUGAGAGAUUUGGAUAUAAUUUGUCCCCUGAAGUUGUGUAGCUCUAAUUAAACCAAGGACUUGACAAACUGUAUUUCAUGUCCCCAAUCCUGUUCUGUCCUCCCUGAGUCAGGUCUUAGACAGGGACAUGGGUGGAUCAAUUCUGUUCUGUCCUCCCUGAGUC